UACCCAAUCCUGACACAGGGAGGUAGUGACAAUAAAUAACAAUGCCGGGCUUUUUAAGUCUGGCAAUUGGAAUGAGAACAAUUUAAAUCCCUUAUCGAGGAUCAAUUGGAGGGCAAGUCUGGUGCCAGCAGCCGCGGUAAUUCCAGCUCCAAUAGCGUAUACUAAAGUUGUUGCAGUUAAAAAGCUCGUAGUUGAAUUUCUGGUCUUGGAUUUCGGUCUGCCUCAAACGAGGUAUGUACCAGGGAUCUGAGACCAUCCUCGAGGAAAACAUAUCUGUCAUUAAGUUAAUGGGUAUGGGAUCCUCGUCAUUUACUGUGAGCAAAAUAGGGUGUUCAAAGCAGGCUUAUGCCGUUGAAUACAUUAGCAUGGAAUAAUAAGAUAAGACCUUGGUCUAUUUUGUUGGUUUGUACUCCAAGGUAAUGAUUAAUAGGGAUAGUUGGGGGUAUUCGUAUUCAAUUGUCAGAGGUGAAAUUCUUGGAUUUAUGGAAGACGAACUACUGCGAAAGCAUUUACCAAGGAUGUUUUCAUUAAUCAAGAACGAAAGUUAGGGGAUCGAAGAUGAUUAGAUACCAUCGUAGUCUUAACCAUAAACUAUGCCGACUAGGGAUUGGUGGACGUUUGUAACGACUCCAUCAGCACCUUAUGAGAAAUCAAAGUCUUUU
rnacentral:rRNA from 1 species